CCUGGUUGAUCCUGCCAGUAGUCAUAUGCUUGUCUGAAAGAUUAAGCCAUGCAUGUCUAAGUAUAAACAAUUUUAUACUGUGAAACUGCGGACGGCUCAUUAAAUCAGUUAUAGUUUACUUGAUCAUAUUUCUUACUUGGAUAACCGUAGUAAUUCUAGAGCUAAUACAUGCAAAAAAUCCGGACCUUUUAGGGAUGGAUGAAUUUAUUAGAUUAGAACCAGCGCAAAGUCUUUUGGCUUUGAGUUAUGGUGAUUCAUAAUAACUAAUCGAAUCGCAGAGACUUUUAGUCGGCGAUGAUACAUACAAAUUUCUGCCCUAUCAACUUUCGAUGGUAGUAUAGAGGACUACCAUGGUUAUAACGGGUAACGGGGAAUUAGGGUUCGAUUCCGGAGAGGGGGCCUGAGAGAUGGCCACCACUUCCAAGGAAGGCAGCAGGCGCGCAAAUUACCCAAUCCCAAUUCGGGGAGGUAGUGACAAGAAAUACCAGUACAGGGCCCAAUGGGUACUGUGAUUGGAAUGAAUACAAUUUAAAAACCUUAAUGAGGAACGAUUGGAGGGCAAGUCUGGUGCCAGCAGCCGCGGUAAUUCCAGCUCCAAUAGUGUAUAUUAAAGUUGCUGCAGUUAAAAAGCUCGUAGUUGGAUUUCGGAUAAUAAAAAUUUAAUAUCCAUCCUUAAAAUGUGAUUUAAUUUUUAUUUCCUUCCUUUUGAAUACACUCCCUAAACUCUUUUAGGGAAUUAAGUGUUUCAAAUCGUUUACUGUGAAGAAAUUAGAGUGUUCAAAGCAGGCGUAACCUAGCCUUUGAAUAUAUUAGCAUGGGAUAAUGAAAUAGGACUUUAGUCCUACUUUCGUUGGUUUCUAGGGCUGAAGUAAUGAUUAAUAGGGAUAGUUGGGGUCACUAGUAUUUAAUUGUCAGAGGUGAAAUUCUAAGAUUUAUUAAAGACUAACUACUGCGAAAGCAUUUGACAAGGAUGUUUUCAUUAAUCAAGAACGAAAGUUGGGGGAUCGAAGAUGAUCAGAUACCGUCGUAGUCUCAACCAUAAACUAUGCCGACCAAGGAUCCGGGGUUGUUAAUAUGGAUGACUCUCCGGGCACUUAUAGAGAAAUCAUAAGUAUUUGGGCUCCGGGGGGAGUAUGGUCGCAAGGCUGAAACUUAAAGGAAUUGACGGAAGGGCACCACAAGGAGUGGAACCUGCGGUUUAAUUUGACCCAACACGGGGAAACUUACCAGGUCCAGACACAGUGAGGAUUGACAGAUUGAGAGUUCUUUCUUGAUUCUGUGAGUGGUGGUGCAUGGCCGUUUCUAGUUGGUGGAGUGAUUUGUCUGGUU
rnacentral:rRNA from 1 species